AUAAGCAUAAAAAAAAUAAUUUUAUUUGAGGAUAAAAUACAAUCAAUUUUUUUAGUAACAUUUAUUUAAAAAAUUAUAAUCAAUUAUUUUGAUACAGUGGUUAACUUUAUUUUCAUAUAUAAUAAUACAUAUAAGAUUCUAACAAACAUGUAUAUUUAUAAAUAAAAACGACAGUUUCAGAUUAUCUAUUUUAAAAUAUUUAACUAUAAUGAAUAAAGUUAUUUCUUUUAUAUCCUGUAAAGCAUUAGUUUUAAGAAAAAAUUAUAAAGAAAAAGGAAAAAGAAUAUUUCAUGAAGCAAAUAUAUAAAUGAAACAGCAAUAACUUUAUUUUACUUAUUCUUUAUUAAAUUAAAAUAAACAUUGAAAGAAACUAAAUAAGUAUAAUUUAAGAUAUUAUAAUAAGUAUCCAUCAUAUAAAUUCGAAAAUGAAUAUUAAAAAAAUAUUGUGAAAAAUUUAUGAAAAAUGCUAUUCUUAGUCAAAAUAUAUCAAAAAAAUUUAAAAUACAAUUAUUAUAAUAACUUGAUUUAUUUGCCCGCCCGUAGGGCGGGUUUACCCUAGUGUAUUAUAAAACGGUUUUUUUUUGUCAAAGCAUUGUUUUCACUACAAUUUAUUUUUAAAAAAAAAACUUUCAAAAUUUUAGGGGGAAAAUUCUAUAUUAUUUGAUUGAUAAUGAAAACUUAAUGUGUCAUUUGUGAAAAAAAAUUAGAAAUUACAUCCUGUCAUUAAUUGAUUGUUAGAGAUUGUAUAUUUCUUUUGUCUUGACACUUUUGAUCAUUUAGUUCUACUUAUCAAUCUUGUAAUAAAGCAAUUUUCCCUCUCUUAUUUUCAUGUUUUCUAAAGCAGUUUUCUCUCUCGUUUUUUCUUUCUAAAAUCAACAUCAGAUUUGCCUUUUUGUUUUCUACCUAGAUUUUUCUUACUUGCUUUUAUGUUUUUGUUUCCUUUGAUUCUUUUGCUUGUUUUAAUUUCUUCUUUGCUUUUACUGGAUAAGAGACAUUUCUGCUAGUGGGAAAGGGAAUGAUGUUAAUAAUGUAAAGAGGAUCAAAGUUUAUAUGGACAAGGUUGAGCUAGAGCAUUCAAACAUAUGUGUUGAUAUAAUUGAACUGAUAUAUGUGCACCCGCUGCAACGUCACUGGACAAACAUGUUUCAAGAAUAACUGAACUUGCGGUGAAUAUUGUAGAGUUCCUCUGUUUCAUGUAUCAUUAUUGUGUAUGAUGAUGUACUCUGGUUUGACCGUUUGAGUGUAUUGCAUCAUCCUGAUGCAUGUCUCAGACACUGUCUCCUUGUUUGUAAUUUGAAACUCAUUACUGUCUUCAGACACUGUCUACUUUCUUACCAUUUGUCAUGGAUCCAAAUGUAAAGUGAUAAUAACCUCUAAAAGUUUAUGUAAUUUUUUUUUUGUUAAAAUUAAAAGAUAAUAAUUUGUUGAA